rnacentral:rRNA from 1 species
UGAUCUAGCUUGCUAGAUUGAUGGCGAGUGGCGAACGGGUGAGUAAUACAUCGGAACGUGCCCUGUAGUGGGGGAUAACUAGUCGAAAGAUUAGCUAAUACCGCAUACGACCUGAGGGUGAAAGUGGGGGACCGCAAGGCCUCAUGCUAUAGGAGCGGCCGAUGUCUGAUUAGCUAGUUGGUGGGGUAAAGGCCCACCAAGGCGACGAUCAGUAGCUGGUCUGAGAGGACGAUCAGCCACACUGGGACUGAGACACGGCCCAGACUCCUACGGGAGGCAGCAGUGGGGAAUUUUGGACAAUGGGCGAAAGCCUGAUCCAGCAAUGCCGCGUGUGUGAAGAAGGCCUUCGGGUUGUAAAGCACUUUUGUCCGGAAAGAAAUGGCUCUGGUUAAUACCUGGGGUCGAUGACGGUACCGGAAGAAUAAGGACCGGCUAACUACGUGCCAGCCGCCGCGGUAAUUCA